CAGCAGCCACGGGAAUACAGAGGGUGCGAGCGUUAAUCGGAUUUACUGGGCGUAAAGCGUGCGUAGGCGGCUUUUUAAGUCGGAUGUGAAAUCCCUGAGCUUAACUUAGGAAUUGCAUUCGAUACUGGGAAGCUAGAGUAUGGGAGAGGAUGGUAGAAUUCCAGGUGUAGCGGUGAAAUGCGUAGAGAUCUGGAGGAAUACCGAUGGCGAAGGCAGCCAUCUGGCCUAAUACUGACGCUGAGGUACGAAAGCAUGGGGAGCAAACAGGAUUAGAGACCCCAGUAGUCCCUGUCUCUUAUAC
rnacentral:rRNA from 1 species